AAAUGAAAAAUAAUCUCAUAAGAAAAAAAUCAUACAUGAUAUAAUUUGGGUAGCUAUUCACAGCCGACUGCAUAAAAAGAAGUGUUUUCAUUUUAAGUGUAAAAUGCGAGGUUGAAGUGUCAACGGAAUUUUUUUUUCGAAGUCGGUGCUAAUCUGAAAUAAUCAUCCAUUUCCUGCGAAUCAUCCUUCCACGGGAAAGUGUUGUGACCGAACGUCGGUGCUACGCUCCUCCUGGCUGAGCUAGUGGAUUCAAAAAUUCGAGUUCAGCGAAUAUGGUGCGUAUCAAGGUGAAAUUGUUGAGUGGACAUCCGUACGAAAAGGGUCCCGUAAAUACAGCUUAUGUAUUCAGUUUCCCGCGCUCAGUAAGGGCGAUGCGAUGGUGGCGAGUGUGGCAGAACUAUAUUAGACAAUAAAUCAAAUUUAAC